rnacentral:tRNA from 1 species
GGCGGCGUGGCCAAGUGGUAAAGCACUGGGCUUAAAAACCAAGUAUCCGGGGUUCGACCCCCGGUGCCG